UCUACGGGAGGCAGCAGUGAGGAAUAUUGGUCAAUGGGCGGGAGCCUGAACCAGCCAAGUCGCGUGAGGGAUGACGGUCCUAUGGAUUGUAAACCUCUUUUGUCGGGGAGCAAGGACUCUACGCGUAGAGUGGUGAGAGUACCCGAAGAAAAAGCAUCGGCUAACUCCGUGCCAGCAGCCGCGGUAAUA
rnacentral:rRNA from 1 species